rnacentral:lncRNA from 1 species
GGCGGGGUCCUCCCUGCAGCGGGGCCGAGGCGCUGAGGUGAGGUGCGGGUCCCGCUGCCCUGUGCUGCUGCCGCUGCCCUGCUGCCGGCCUGGCCUGGGCUCGCCUCGGCCCGGAGCCGCCCGCGCCCUGGCCCCGAGUGAGCCAACUCACGGCAAACUUUCACCCUUAGCAACCCCGCGCACGGAUCCGCGCUGCGCCCCGCGUGAUGCGGCCCCGGGGGGCGGGGCGGGACCGGGGCCGGGACUACUUCGCGCUGCCUCCGCCCCUCAGCGAGCUGGGGGGGGGGGGGCGGGGCGUCUGGCUCUUUUUUUUUUUUUUUACCCCUUUCCUCCACCGAAUUUUAUUUAUUUAUUUAUCGGUUUAUUUAUUUAUUUAUCCCUUCAUCCACUUAUUUAUCCAUUUAUUUAUUUAUUUAUUCAUCCAAUUAUUCACCUAUUCAUUUAUUAUUUCUCCUGGGGGUGCAUUGACCCUCGGCUUAUCCCGGCCCUGAGCCCCCCUCAGGGGACGCCUCCGAGCCGCUGGAGCCGCCCCCGUACCCCCACACCCCCCCCUCUCCGCCGCGGACUAUUUUGUCUCUUCACACCCGUGCCCCUCCGCCCCUCAGCGCAGGGCCGGCCCGGCCGCGGCGGAGGCGGCGAAGGCCCCGCAAGGUGCGCGAGCGGCCCCCGUGCUAAAAAUAACUGCGGCGUGUUAGCAACAGCGUUCCCAUUGGCUGGCCCGGCCCGGCCGCGCCUCCCGAUUGGUGCGCCGCCUCAGCCAAUGAGACGCCGGGGGUGUGCGCGCGGCGCGGGGGCCGCCGGGAGUUGUAGUUCCCGGGCGCGGGCGGGGUGAGGGGAGCGGGGGCUGCCCCCGCCUCAUGGCGGGUCCCUGUCAGGGAGCGGCUGGGCCCGGGGCUGGGCCCCCGGUUAAACAAUUCCCCCAGCACCUGUCCCCCAAACGCUAAAAUACCAAAUUACACCAAAUUACACCAAACACCGAGCUCCUCUCCCGCCCCACUUCCACCAAAACCUUCAGCACCCUUCUGGGAUUUGCUUCUCCUCCCUCCCUCAGGACCCCGUUACCUGAGGGGUUUUGGGUCCCGCCUUUGGGGUUUUUGGUGAUUUGCCACCGAAGAGGGCUUUUGAAGCCGCUCAACGCCACACGCUAAGAAAUUUGUUA